rnacentral:RNase_P_RNA from 1 species
GGAGUCGUUCAGACGAUCGCCGGAUGGCCUUUUCGUCCGGAGGAAAGUCCGAACACCACAGGGCAGGGUGCUCCAUAACCUGGAGUCGCGGCAACGCGAAGGAAAGUGCAACAGAAAGUAAACCGCCCCGCGCUGAGUGAACCCUUGGUGCGGGGUAAGGGUGAAACGGUGCGGUAAGAGCGCACCAGUUCCUCGGGUGACCGGGGAAGCUCGGUAAACCCCACCCGGUGCAAGACCAAAUAGGGGAGCGUUCGAGGGCGGCCCGCUCAAGCUCCCGGGUAGGUCGCAAGAGGUGUCGGGCAAUCGGCACCCACAGAUGAAUGAUCGUCGCCCUCUGCCGGGCAACCGACCGGGGGAACAGAAUUCGGCUUACGAACGGCUCCGGCC